UGAGGGGAUGGGUCCCCUCUGCAGGAGCUGUACGCAGGCAAAGGACAGCUGCAGGAGAUGUUAGAGGUGAGGCAGAGAGAUUGAUCCUGCCUGGAGCUCCUAAGGCCAAUCUUGUGCAGGCCUGCGGGGAUGCCAAGGGAGCUGCAAGCAGACCAAACCCCUAGUAAGUUGGGAGUUGGGAAGAGAGACUCGGUGGGGGUAGGACCAGAUUCUCCACUAAGGAAGAGUCCUAUGCAGCACUCCAGGGGGCGAGCCGCCAUCUAAGCAAUGGGACGGGGGUACCCAGAGUCUGCACAGCUGAGGACUGCAGCAGCAUCUGGCUCAGGCACCCAUUCUGUCAAAACAGAGCAGAGAGCAGCUGCCUCUUCCUUAACACGGCAGUUCAAGAAACCAAGAUGACGAGGCUCAUUUGGGUCCUGCUCGAGUUCAGCAGACAGCCUUUGGCACAGAGACAGAUUCACACUGGAGUUUGCAUCUCCCAACAGUGGGACAGAAUCCUUCCGUCGACCCAGUUCCCAUCUCUCGGAGAGGUGGAUUUGCUACAGAGAUGGAAAACGCCUGCCAUCGGCUGCAGCGUUGCGAGCACAGAUGUAGCCUUACUCUGACACCCCUGGUAGAACUUUACACCCAGUUUGCUGUGGGGGUCUAAAAAUGGGUGCUCAGCACAGGGUGGGUUUCCAAGGCAGCUGUUUUUCAGGCUGUAAUUUUAAACCUGGUCAAUUUCUCCCUUCACCAUCAGUAUAAUUUGCCUGUAAAAAAUUCCCCAAUGUUGAAUGGAAGUUUUUACCACGUUUCCAGUGUCAGUAAUGA